rnacentral:rRNA from 1 species
GUGGGGAAUUUUGGACAAUGGGCGCAAGCCUGAUCCAGCAAUGCCGCGUGCAGGAAGAAGGCCUUCGGGUUGUAAACUGCUUUUGUACGGAACGAAACGGUCCGGGUUAAUACCCUGGGCUAAUGACGGUACCGUAAGAAUAAGCACCGGCUAACUACGUGCCAGCAGCCGCGGUAAUACGUAGGGUGCAAGCGUUAAUCGGAAUUACUGGGCGUAAAGCGUGCGCAGGCGGUUUUGUAAGGCAGGCGUGAAAUCCCCGGGCUCAACCUGGGACUUGCGCUUGUGACUGCAAGGCUGGAGUGCGGCAGAGGGGGAUGGAAUUCCGCGUGUAGCAGUGAAAUGCGUAGAUAUGCGGAGGAACACCGAUGGCGAAGGCAAUCCCCUGGGCCUGCACUGACGCUCAUGCACGAAAGCGUGGGGAGCAAACAGGAUUAGAUACCCUUGUAGUCC